rnacentral:tRNA from 2 species
GCGGAAGUAGUUCAGUGGUAGAACGUCGCCUUGCCAUGGCGAAGGUCGCGGGUUCGAGUCCCGUCUUCCGCUCCA